rnacentral:antisense_RNA from 2 species
UUCAGUACGACAUUGCUCACAUUGCUUCCAGUAUUUCUUGCCCACUCCUGAGUGGGCUUUUUUU